GGAGAGGUGGCGGAGUGGCCGAUCGCGCCCGCUUGGAAAGCGUGUGUACCUCAAAAGGGUACCGAGGGUUCGAAUCCCUCCCUCUCCGCCA
rnacentral:tRNA from 1 species